rnacentral:rRNA from 1 species
UACAGAGGCCUCGAGCGUUAGGCGGAAUCACUGGGCUUAAAGCGUGUGUAGGCGGAUUGGUAAGUACCUUGUGAAAUCCCACAGCUUAACUGUGGAACUGCUCGGUAUACUGCUGAUCUUGAGCCACUCAGGGGCUACCGGAACAAAUGGUGGAGCGGUGAAAUGCGUAGAUAUCAUUUGGAACGCCAAUGGUGAAAACAGGUAGCUGGGGGUGUGCCGACGCUGAGACACGAAAGCCAGGGGAGCAAACGGG